CUUGAUCUGAGAGAAUUCGGAGAGGGCUACAUACUGAAAGACUUGUUCUUUCUAACUCCCUCGGGAAAGUCCCCAGACAACUGCAGAGAGUGCGGGCUGUGAAUGCAACCAAUGGCUUUUGAUGAGCUUUUUUGCGAUUUUCGCCAUUGUUUUUGUCUGUAUACAGAGAAAUCGAAUUGGGUCUUUCGAGACUUAACUCAAUGGGGCUCACUCCUUGGAUCAG
rnacentral:RNase_MRP_RNA from 1 species